rnacentral:rRNA from 1 species
AACGAACGCUGGCGGCAUGCCUAACACAUGCAAGUCGAACGAAGCCUUCGGGCUUAGUGGCGCACGGGUGCGUAACGCGUGGGAAUCUGCCCUUGGGUUCGGAAUAACAGUUAGAAAUGACUGCUAAUACCGAAUGAUGUCUUCGGACCAAAGAUUUAUCGCCCAAGGAUGAGCCCGCGUCGGAUUAGCUAGUUGGUGAGGUAAAGGCUCACCAAGGCGACGAUCCGUAGCUGGUCUGAGAGGAUGAUCAGCCACACUGGGACUGAGACACGGCCCAGACUCCUACGGAGGCAGCAGUGGGGGAAUAUUGGACAAUGGGCGGAAAGCCUGAUCCAGCAAUGCCGCGUGAGUGAUGAAGGCCUUC